UACGAAGGGGGCUAGCGUUGCUCGGAAUCACUGGGCGUAAAGCGCACGUAGGCGGCUUUCUAAGUCAGGGGUGAAAUCCUGGAGCUCAACUCCAGAACUGCCUUUGAUACUGGAGAGCUUGAGUCCGGGAGAGGUGAGUGGAACUCCGAGUGUAGAGGUGAAAUUCGUAGAUAUUCGGGAAGAAUACCAGUGGCGAAGGCGGCUCACUGGCCCGGUACUGACGCUGAGGUGCGAAAGCGUGGGGAGCGAACAGG
rnacentral:rRNA from 1 species